GAGACUUUACUAUAUCCUGGUGUUUUUUCUCCGUCCUUUUUUUUUAUUCGCGGUCCUUAUCUGACAGGCAUCGGGAGAUGUCAAAGAAUAUACAAUAUCCAUUUUAGUGGCGCAAGGUCAGGUGCGUCUAACGAGACAUUACUGUAUUUGUGCAUUUAUGGAAACCUUUCUGUACCGAAGAAUAGGCUAAUAGAGUAAUCGAAAAAUAUUCCAUCCACCCGCGGACGACUCUCGUCCAAGAGGUUUGUGCAUUUAUGGAGACUUUACUAUAUCCUGGUGUUUUUUCUCCGUCCUUUUUUUUAUUCGCGGUCCUUAUCUGACAGGCCUCGGGAGAUGUCAAAGAAUAUACGAUAUCCAUUUUAGUGGCACAAGGUCAGGUGCGUCCAACGAGACAUUACUGCAUUUGUGCAUUUAUGGAGACUUUUCUGUACAGAAGAAUAGACUAAUAGAGUGAUCGAAAAAUAUUCCAUCCACCCGCGGACGACUCCCGUCCAAGAGCUUUGUGCAUUUAUGGAGACUUUACUAUAUCCUGGUGUUUUUUCUCCGUCCUUUUUUUUAUUCGCGGUCCUUAUCUGACAGGCAUCGGGAGAUGUCAAAGAAUAUACGAUAUCCAUUUUAGUGGCGCCAGGUCAGGUGCGUCUAACGAGAAAUUACUAUAUUUGUGCAUUUAUAGAGACUUUAGUGUACAGAAUAAUAGGGUAAUAGAGCGAUCGUGGUGGUGAUCGCGAGACGGUGGAUCGCGUGUGGCGUGUUUCGGGCUCCUCUGUUCCGAAUGGAAUUUUCAGGGUGAAUUUUCAAUAAAACGUUGCCAUCAAGGACAAAGCUGGACCAGACUCGCCUAGUCUGCCAGCUAUUCCAUUUCCUCCCUUUAUUUCCCUUUAAACUUCCAUUCCCGCGAUCCCCCG